GCAUGGUUUGUAUGUCCUGUCACAGGGCCCCACAGCUUUGGCAUUUGCUCCCCAUUCUAGUCUGAAAUAGGGAAUGUGUGAUGACCAUCAGGGUAUGGUGCUAAACUCAUCUUGUUCCCUAGGGAUGGCAUUUUGUCCCACAAACAGAAUAGAAGCAAAAGAAAGAACCAGCUUUAUAUCUGAUGGAAACAAACAAAAAGUUCUUGACACUACAGCAGGUGAAUGGAGAGUUUCACAGAAGCCUUCCAGUGAUUGGUCCCUUCUUGGGCCUCAAUAAACUUCAUUUGAACACACUGGCAAAAUAUAUUUUAUUGUUGCAAAUACCCAUGAAUUGAAAGGACAC